UGUGCUUCCUGGGUAACGCAAUGCCCCACA
rnacentral:piRNA from 1 species